AUGGAGACGGGACUGCCGGUCGUCGGGUGUCCUGGAAGCCGAAUGCGAAUGCGGAGGGGCUCGCGGGCCGCGCGGAGGCAACCCAGGUCGGGCCAACGGGCCGCACCUCUCGUCGCGGGGCGUGCUGUACUUGAGCCGCACGACCCGCGACCGGACUCCAGCCUGCUGACGCCGGCCCGCCCCCCCGAACACCGCCAACACCAGACCAGCAAGCGCCUGGCCGGGCCCGGGGGCCCGAGGGGCUUCCAGGACCCCCCAUUGACCGGGAGGGCGUGCGUGCAUGCGUGCGCGCGGGGCCUGGGGGCUGGGCUGAGGGGUGCGGAGGUCUCGGCGCCCUCCCACCCGCGGCCACUCCAGACCCGGCCGCGCUCGCUGAGCGGGGCCUCCCCCCGAUCCCAUUCGCUGCUCAGGCCCGCGCGGCCCCGGACGUGUCGGUCUUCGGCGCCCGCCGCCUCCCAACCCCCGCGGCCCAGGGGCCUCUGAACCUCCUGCGGGCCUAGGCGCAGCGAAACUUGAGCGCCCAACUUGCCCGGCACCUGUCCGGUGCCCAAACCCACCAGAAGCCAGGGAGGCGCGGUCGACCGAGCGCCUCAGCCCUCCCUUCGCACUACCGAGGCCCCCUUGCCCCCACGCCAAGCCC
rnacentral:lncRNA from 1 species